CUAAGCUUAACGCGCCAACCUCCUCGUUUAUUCAACCUUCCUAAGGGACAGACCGAAUCCUCUCCUGCAUCAGGUCUACAAACGAAUACUUCAAACCACAGACGUAACCGAAAAUAUGAAAUGACAUUACGUUCGAGAAAGUUAAAACACGCAUUUCGUAUAUUCGAAUCAAUAAAUCUUGUUAUAUAUUCGAAUAGGCAUAUUUAAAGUUUAAUUAAAUCCAUCAGUUUAAGAUUUUUAUACUCGUAUAAACGAAAAGUUUUACAAUAUUAUAACAAUUAACUUCGUUUAUCGCGUACACAAAACUAUGGAAUUUUACAACCAAAAUAUACUAAACGUCACGUGACCGCGGUUAACUGCGGAAUUCUCGGAGGAUAAUGAAAUUUUCUAAUAUAAAUCUGUAAAAAAUGCAACUAGUUUUUUCCCCUCUGUUUUAUUUUAAUUACGGAUAAUGUUAUCGAUCAAUUGGCGAAACAAAGCAUCGCCAGCCUCUCGUCCAUUUUCGGUUGGUCGUUUUUGCUAACUCUAGACGAAAAUUUCGACGAAAUUAAAAUGGCGGCUAUCACUGAGCUCGGUGAUAAAUGUUUGCAUGCGAAAAUUUGAUAAAAACAAGAUGGAUCGUAGUACAGAGGACGAUAAUUAUUUUCCUUGUGCGUGAUUUACGUUAUUCGAGUGCCUCAAAUGUCAAACUUAAGUACUGUAUACUUGUAAAGACUGUGUAUUAUGUGUUACGUUUUAAAGACUUAAGUCGACUCAAAGAUGUGGAAACAUCGACGAUGUAUCCACCGAAAAGUGUAUAAACUUAGUAGUUGACAUAUUCAAUUUCAAAAUAUAAGACUACAUCUUAUAACAAUAUUGAGAGUAUUUGUCCUAAUUCCAUGGACGACGAUUGAUCUAUAAAG